GCCAACAGUUAGGGACCAGAGCAUCUGC
rnacentral:piRNA from 1 species